rnacentral:lncRNA from 1 species
GUCCUUCGCUGCCUCGGGCGGUACCGAGGACCUUGGAAGCCCAGAUGCUCCGCGGGUCUCGUGUGGUCACGGGUCAGCCUGUUUGGUUUGCACUUCUAGGGGUCGGGGCAGUUGGGGUCAUCACCUACCCCGGCAGCAUCGCUUUGGCCGCGGAAAGACCGUGUGCAGCUCUUCCCGUCCCCAGACACGGGGACCGGCCCGCUGUUGUAACUGCCUGGAGUUCCCAGCAUGUGUGCAGCAUGUCACAACGAAUAUCUCCCUCUUGCUGCCCUCUGUGCUGUUUCCAGUUGGCCCUUGGCAUCCACAGUGCUCUCCUGAGCAUGCUCACGUGCAUCCUGUCUCCGUGGGUGCCUCGCUGGGGGUAAUACCAGGAAGUGGAAUCGGUGGAUUUUAGGACUUGCCGCCAGUGUCGUUAUGGCCUGUGAAGUCGCCACCCGGGCAACAGCCCUGGAAUAAUUCUGUGGAAGCGGGAACCCUCAUAGCCAAAUUCUUUCUCUUCAAGGUUCAGAGCAUGAAAGUUUGCUGCUGUCUUUGGAACUUUGUCUGCAAAAUCUGGAAGGAGACUAGCCCAAGGGCUCACCACCAAUGGCAAUGUCAAAGAACACGGUGGGGUUGACCAUGGCUGAUGGCAGGGGACUCUGGGAGGCAGCAGCAUCUGCAAAGCUGUGUAUUUUAAAAUUUCAAUAGAUCCCGCCUUGCUUCUCUUUCCUCCAUGUAUGCAGACCCUUUCCCUGUGCUGACCAUGAAGCUGGGCUGGACGGUGUCUCUGCAGUGCUCUCCUUCCCCUUUCUAUGACAUCAACAUCAUACUAAUGAUAAUGUAAUGACUGCUGUUUAUGCCUUCCUUCAAAUCUUAUUCAGAAACUUACCUUUUCAAAGAAUAGAAAAAUAGAAAAAUGGACGGAAAUGGCUGGCAAAAAAUGCCCUUGAGGAAAUAUCCCGGAUGACAAAUAAUCAAAGGGAAAUAAAACAGUUCCUGAUGCCACCUUUUGCCUGUCCAUUUAGUAAAGUUUGUUUAAAAGAACCAUCCACGUUGGGGAAGGUGCAAUGAAACAGGAAUUUGUACUCUUACUGCUAGUGGGAGGAUAACCUGUUCUAUUCUUUGGAAAGUAAUUGGGUAAAUAUGUAUCAAAACUUGAACAAAUGAGCUUCACCUUUCCUAUACCAGUUCCACUUCCGAGAACCGGUUCAGGCAGCCGCGGCACCCCUGGUGUGUAUUUGGUCCGCUCAGUCUACAGGUCUCAUUCAGAAAAGGCAGGAAGGAGGUUGACGGCAGCUGUGGGGUGGCAGUGGCUCUGCACCCGGCUGGCUUUGCAUUGUCGCUCCUCAUGCCCGGGUUUGCCAUCUUCGCCUCCAGUCUGGAGCUCCAGCCCCUGCCCUCCCUGAUGCCUCCCUUCAGCUCAUGGAAAUGGUCCUCUUUUGACUCUGCUGGGUGGGGUGGCCCUGACCAGAAACAUCCAGUGGCUACUCAGCCUGGCACGGCCAUGGUCUGAGAGGCCCCAGCAGAGCACAGUGACUUGGCGCCAGGGCCCCCUUCAGCACAUCACAGGAUGAGGACAGCACAUCACAGGAUGGGGAGUGGGUCUGAGGGCUGACCCUGCCUUUUUUUUUUUUUUGACGAAGUCUCACUCUGUCACCCAGGCUGGAGGGCAGUGGUGUGAUCUUGGCUCACUGCAACCUCUGCCUCCCGGGUUCAGGCGAUUCUCCUGCCUCAGCCUCCUGAGUAGCUGGGACUACAGGCACCCGCCACCACACCAGGCUAAUUUCUUUUUGUAUUUUUAGUAGAGACGGGGUUUCAUCAUGUUGGUCAGGCUGGUCUUGAACUCCUGACCUUGUGAUCCACCCACCUCAGCCUUCUAAAGUGCUGGGAUUACAAGCAUGAGCCACUGAGCUCGGCUGAUUUUUUUUAUUUUUUAUUUUCAGUUUUACUUUUUGAGACAGGGUCUGGCUCUGUAGCCCAGGCUGGGACUCAGUCACCCAGUGUCAGCUCACUGCAACCUCUGCCUCCUGGGACUCAAGCCAUUCUCCCAUCUCAGCCUCUUGCGUAGCUGGGACCCCAGGCACUUGCCACAGUGCCUGGCUGAUUUUUGUAUUUUUUGUAGAGAUGGGAUUUCACCAUGUUGCCAAGAGUGGUCUCGAACUCCUGAGCUCAAACGAUCUGCCCGCCUUGGCCUCCCAAAGUGCUGGGAUUACAGGCGUGAGCCACCAAGUCAAGCCAACAUUUUUUUUUACACACCAGUUUUCAGCAGCUGUGGCAAGUGGCCCCUGCGAUGAUCCCCACUCCUCAGUAUUUUUGCCCUUGUGUGGUCUUCUUCCCUUGAGUGUGAGCUGGACCUACCGACUUGCUUCUAAGGAACAGAAGACAGCAAAAGUAAUGGCAUGUCACUUUCAGUCCUGGGUUAUAAGAAGAUAGUGGCUUCCAUCUCAGGCGCUUUCUCUUGCUCCCCCACCUGCUUGUGCUGAGGGGAGGUGGGCUGCCUUCUUGUGAGUUACCCUAUGUGGGGUUCAUGCAGUAAGGAACUGAUAGAGUUUGGAUGUGUGUUCCCACUCAAAUCUGAUAUUGAAAUACAAUCUCCAGUGUUGGAGGUGGAGUUCUGGUGAAGGUGAUUGGCUUACGCAGGGAGUGGAUUUCUCAUGAAUGGUUUAGCACUAUCUCCCUGGGUACUGUCCUGAUAAGGAGUGAGUUCUCAUGAAAUCUGGUCAUUUAAAAGUGUGCAGUGCCUCUUCCCUCAUCCUCCUGCUCCUGCUUUCACCCUGUGAUGUGCCUGCUCCCUGUUUACCUACCACCACGAUUGGAAGCCUCCUGAGGUCUCCCCCAAAGCAGAUGCUGCUAUGCUUCCUGUACAGACUGCAGAGCUAGGAGCCAAUAAAACCUCUUCUCUUGGAAGUGACUUCGUUUCAGUUAUUUCUUCCUAGAAUUGUGAGAAUGGACUAAUCCAGCAAUGGAACCAGCAGCUGGUGAGAAAAUAUGGCCUGCAUACAGCCACACGAGUGAGCUUGGAAACAUUUCUCUGAGUCCAGACUUUUCAUGGGACCACAUCCCCAGCUCAUGGAUUGAUUGCAGCCUUGGGAGAAACCUUAAGCCACAGGCACCCAGUUAAGCUUCUGACCCACAGAAACUAGGAGAUAAUAAAUGUGAGUUGUUUUAAGCCUUUAGGUGGGGUGAGGCAAUAAAAGCUCGAAAGGCUACUGCAUGCAUUAACGAUAACUAAUGCAAUUAUUAACUGUGAUUAUCGAUUAGUUAUCGAUAAAGCAUGCAGCAGCCUUGUGAGCUCUGACUGCACUGGCGAACUGACAGCACAUCCUAAACUGGGCCCAGAAUCUCCACCAGGUGCCCAGGUGCCAGAGGCGAGCUUUACUCCCUUGAAGAGGACUGCAUCAAAGGUGUCAUGGAGAUGAAGCUUUCUUUGGCAUAUGAAUAGUUCGUGAUUAUAUUUUUUCCUCAAAAGAUGUGUUAAUGCAAAAGCCUGGGAAGAAGUCUCCAGUCGGUCACUCAUUCCGGCAACUAGUCCUUCACGGUGUCAACUAGUCCUUCACUGUAUCAACUAGUCCUUCACGGUAUCAACUAGUCCUUCACGGUGUCAAACUAGGUCAGGAGUUUCCACCAACUGGGUUGGUCCAACUCUUGGAUCAAUAAACCCUGAUUUGUUUUUCCAGAGAAUGAAAACUCUUUACAUCAGAAGGGCUAUGGUGGAAAAGAAGGGUUUGACUUAUUUUCUGAGGUCCCAAGAGAUCAGAAAAUUUCAGUUUCAGCUGGGCAUGGUGGCUCACACCUGUAAUCCCAACACUUUGGGAGGCCGAGGCAGGAGGAUUGCUUGAGCUCAGGAGUUCGAGACCAGCCUGGGCAACAUGGCAAGACCCUAUCUCUACAAAAGAAAUAAAACCAAAAAAAUUACCUGGGUUUGGUGGCAUGUGCUUGUAGUCCCAGCUACUCAGGAGGCUAAGGUAGGAAUAUUGUUUGAGUCUGGGAGAUUGAGGCUGCAGCGAGCCAUAUUCAUACCACUGCUCUCCAGCCUGAGCGACAGAGUGAGCCUUUGUCUCAAAAAAAAAAAAAAAAAAAAAGAAAAGAAAAGAAAAAAAAGAAAAAGAAAAAGUCAGUUUCAUAAGAUGAAAAACUUCCUGCUAAUCAGAGCUGUCAGACUCUGCCUGGACUGGUUCAUUGGGUAGUUAGCUUCUUCCUAGUAGACAUAGACCUGGAUGUCUCAGCAGGAAUGUGGUGAGAGGUUUCCAAGUACGUGUUCAAGAAUCAGGCCGAGUUUAUUCAUUUAGUAAUUCAACAAAUACUAAUUCUACAUGCUUCAGUUACAGAAUCCUGUGAGUAAGUGUAGAAUUGAUGACCAGAGGCUUUGAUAAAAAGCGAUUUGUUUUUUCUACCCAACAGAGGAUCUGGGGGUCAGUGGUGGCUGGUGGUGUUUCACUGGGUCAGUAGUGCAAGGUUCAGAAUCCCUCUGAUUCUCUCGCCUGUAGUGUCUGAGAUGGCUGCACAGUGGCCACUACAGCUGCAGAUAUCACACCCCACACAGACCUCA